UUACGGCCAUGUCACGAUGAAACACCGUAUCUCAUACGAUCACCGAAGUUAAGCAACGUCGUACUUGGUCAGUACCUAAAUGGGUGACCCCUUGAGAU